GAUGAACGCUGGCGGCGUGCCUAAUACAUGCAAGUCGAGCGAACAGACGAGGAGCUUGCUCCUCUGACGUUAGCGGCGGACGGGUGAGUAACACGUGGAUAACCUACCUAUAAGACUGGGAUAACUUCGGGAAACCGGAGCUAAUACCGGAUAAUAUAUUGAACCGCAUGGUUCAAUAGUGAAAGACGGUUUUGCUGUCACUUAUAGAUGGAUCCGCGCCGCAUUAGCUAGUUGGUAAGGUAACGGCUUACCAAGGCGACGAUGCGUAGCCGACCUGAGAGGGUGAUCGGCCUCACUGGAACUGAGACACGGUCCAGACUCCUACGGGAGGCAGCAGUAGGGAAUCUUCCGCAAUGGGCGAAAGCCUGACGGAGCAACGCCGCGUGAGUGAUGAAGGUCUUCGGAUCGUAAAACUCUGUUAUUAGGGAAGAACAAAUGUGUAAGUAACUAUGCACGUCUUGACGGUACCUAAUCAGAAAGCCACGGCUAACUACGUG
rnacentral:rRNA from 1 species